UACGUAGGGUGCAAGCGUUGUCCGGAAUUAUUGGGCGUAAAGAGCUCGUAGGCGGUUCGUCGCGUCGGCUGUGAAAGCCCGGAGCUCAACUCCGGGUCUGCAGUCGAUACGGGCAGACUUGAGUGUUGCAGGGGAGACUGGAAUUCCUGGUGUAGCGGUGGAAUGCGCAGAUAUCAGGAAGAACACCCGUGGCGAAGGCGGCUCUCUGGAACGCAACUGACGCUGAGACGCGAAAGCGUGGGGAGCAAACAGG
rnacentral:rRNA from 1 species